AGGACGACAACAGGUGGUCUGAUGCAGUUGCACAAUUUGUCCGUGUAGGAACUUUUCAAUCACCUCCGCUGCAAUUUAUUCCUGUGCAAAAGGGGGAGACACGGAUCGCCCUGAGGCUGGCCAGGGACACCAGGCUGCACUGAUACUUCACAUUGUGCCGCUGCUGUGUAAAAGCAAUGGAGCUACUGGAACAUGCAGGGACGGCACAGCGCUUAGACAAGGCUGCCACUCUCUCCACAAGGGCAUCGGAGGCAGCUGAACCAUCCAGCGUGGCCCCAACAGAUGGCUCUCUGAACACAAGUGAGCCACGGAGAUGUUAAAGAAUGCCAAUGGGACUCCCCCUUCUCUCACUCCUUCGUCUGAGAAGGAGGCAAACAGAUAAAGAGCAAGGCAGAGAGGCAGUCGCUGAGAAGAACAACGGAGGAAGGUGUGUGCAUGAGAAGUGCUGGUGGA